rnacentral:sRNA from 1 species
GGAUGUGAGGGCGGUCUGGCUGGCUGCACAGGUGUUCCGUCCUCCCUCACUGCUCUAUGUGCAUCCUUCCCAAUGCUGGGAGCUCAGUGGAAGAUAGAAGAGGAUCAGUCUUCUGUUAAGGGUACUCAACUAGCUGUGCUCCCCUGCCAGAACCUCCAAACAACUUCUCAAGGAACAAACUGAUAUAAUUUCACCUCACCUGCUUUAGCAGGGUUCUGUUGGUUCCCAGUUUAUGCUGUUCAAUACUUCUUCUCACAAAGACCCUUUCCAUAGGAGACAGGUUUUCCUU